GACGAACGCUGGCGGCGUGCUUAACACAUGCAAGUCGAACGGAAAGGCCCUGCUUUUGUGGGGUGCUCGAGUGGCGAACGGGUGAGUAACACGUGAGUAACCUGCCCUUGACUUUGGGAUAACUUCAGGAAACUGGGGCUAAUACCGGAUAGGAGCUCCUGCUGCAUGGUGGGGGUUGGAAAGUUUCGGCGGUUGGGGAUGGACUCGCGGCUUAUCAGCUUGUUGGUGGGGUAGUGGUUUACCAAGGCUUUGACGGGUAGCCGGCCUGAGAGGGUGACCGGCCACAUUGGGACUGAGAUACGGCCCAGACUCCUACGGGAGGCAGCAGUGGGGAAUAUUGCACAAUGGGCGGAAGCCUGAUGCAGCAACUCCGCGUGCGGGAUGACGGCCUUCGGGUUGUAAACCGCUUUCGCCUGUGACGAAGCGUGAGUGACGGUAAUGGGUAAAGAAGCACCGGCUAACUACGUG
rnacentral:rRNA from 1 species